GUGAGGAAUAUUGCGCAAUGGAGGCAACUCUGACGCAGCCAUGCCGCGUGCAGGAAGAAGGCGCUACGCGUUGUAAACUGCUUUUAACCGGGAAGAAACCCCAGGACGUGUCCUGGGUUGACGGUACCGGAGGAAUAAGCACCGGCUAACUUCGUGCCAGCAGCCGCGGUAAUACGAAGGGUGCAAGCGUUAUCCGGAUUCAUUGGGUUUAAAGGGUGCGUAGGCGGAGCGUUAAGUCAGUGGUGAAAUCCUGCAGCUUAACUGUAGACUUGCCAUUGAUACUGGCGCUCUUGAGUGCGCUUGAAGUGGGCGGAAUGUGCCGUGUAGCGGUGAAAUGCUUGGAUAUGGCACAGAACACCAAUUGCGAAGGCAGCUCACUAAGGCGAUACUGACGCUGAGGCACGAAAGCGUGGGGAUCGAACAGGAUUAGAAACCCCGGUAGUCC
rnacentral:rRNA from 1 species